GGUUCCUUCUCUUCUGGAACUUUUUCAGCUGAGCUGAUCAUUAGAAGAAAUUGUACCUGAGUUUGUUUAUUUCCUUUUCCAUCCCAAUCUUUGUCAUGUCUUUUUGGAUUGUGAGUCAGAGGACAGAGACUAUUGAUUGUGGUUGGAACCUUUUUUGACUGAAGCACAUAAGUUAUUUAAAUGAAUGUGUACAUUAAAAGCUGAUGCCGUUUGACGGAGGGUAUCUGUUUGCAUGCAUAUAAAAUGAGGUUUUCUAGUCUUAAUACUGGCUUUAUGCUCAUGGAUUGGAGGUGAGGUUGCUAAUCAGCUUGCACCUGAGAUAUAACAACAGCUUAGUCAUUUACAAAUAGUUUCCCUAUCCCUACUGCCCUUCCAUUUCAGUUCCUCAACUUUUUUUUAUUCUACAGAUUCUCUGACAGUCUUUGUUAUUUAGUACCCAGGUAUUCUGACUGCUUUCCUAACAAUGAAUUUGUUUCAAAUGACGUUUUUACAUUUAGAUGCAGCUGGAUAAUACUAUACUUGGGAAUGGUUUGUGGGGGGGAGUGUCUUCAUAUUGUGUCUUUUAAUUCCACUGAACCCAGCAGAGUUAAAUGUAGUUUGGAAGCACAGGGAAGAAUUAAUGAUUGGAAGAUACAGAGUUGGUAAAUUAUUUAUUCUGGCCCCGAGGAAGCUGAAAAGCUGAGUGAAAGACUAAUAAAUCAUUUGUGGUAGUGCUGGUUGUCACUUCCAAUUAUUUUAGACGGUUUUGUGAUAAACUGCAGCACCUGCUAGAUAUCCCUACACCAUCCCUUGAUGCUGGCAGUGCAGCUUGUUCAGUCGAUUAUCAAAGGCAAGUUUAUCUAAACUUUCUACAGGUUAAAGGAAGAAUUGCUGUUCGUCCUCCCUGCCUUUAUUUUUGAAGAUGUCUUUUUAGAGCAUGUGUGGUAUAUGGACGAGGCACUAUACAAUUCAGGAAGCUGCUAGAUGUUAAUCAAUAGUUUUCUGUAGUUCCACUCGGGAGUGGGCUAAUUCAGGAGCAUCUAUUUAAGACCACAUAUUUUCUUGAUAACCGCAAUCUAGGUUACUUGCACUAAACCAUUAUGGAUUAAACACAGAGAUUAUGCUGAAGUCAGGGAAGCAGCCAUUUUACACAAGCCCUUAGAGCCCUUAUACCUAAAGCAGGCAAUAGUUUUGUCCAGAUACAGUUCUACUCAGAAGUGGAUACAGUAUGAAGGUGGAACAUCUUUGACAAUCCCUCUAAUAAACAAACUGCAGUAUACAACCUUUCAUUUUGUUGUUUAGUCAUGUCUGACUCUUCGUGACCCUAUGGACCAGAGCACGCCAGGCCUUCCUGUCUUCCACUGCCUCCCGCAGUUUGGUCAAACUCAUGUUGGUAGCUUCAAGAACACUGUCCAACCAUAACCUUUCAUUUAGUUCUCUUUAAUUGUGUGUAUGUUUAUUGUACAGUGGUGCCUCGCAAGACGAAAUUAAUCUGUUCCGCAAGUUUCUUCGUCUUGCGGUUUUUUCGUCUUGCGAAGCACGGCUAUUAGCGGCUUAGCGGCUAUUAACGGCUUAGCGGCUUUAAGAAAAAGGAAACAAACUUGCAAGAACUCGCAAGAUGUUUCGUCUUGCGAAGCAAGCCCAUAGGGAAAUUCGUCUUGCGGAACGACUCAAAAAACGGAAAACUCUUUCAUCUAGCGAGUUUUUCGUCUUGCAAGGCAUUCGUCUUGCGGGGCACCACUGUAUUUGGAGUGAAUGGUUUUGCCAUUAGCUAAUCAAUUAAGUUUAUUUUUGCACCAUAGAUAAAAAGGACCUUGGAGUUUCGUCGAUGUCAAAUACAGAGGAAACAAGGCCUGUUAAUAAGAAUUCAAUUCAACCCUGUAUAGAUUACGUAUUGUCAAAUUGUGAUUUUGCUUAAGAAAAGAUGCUGCUGCUAGUCACUUAAUUGUGUAAUGACUGCAAAUGUUUGCCACAUGACACACUUCAUUUUUUGCCUCAUGCAAAGCAUAGUUUCCUACAAGUCAGUAGAUGGUUGCAGAUCUGUCUUCUACCCCAAAUGCGUACUGUGCUGGUGAUGCUGUUCUUCUGAACUUCCUUCAUAUCACUAACUGCCCUUCAGCCAACCUUGGAAAUAGAUGAAAUGAGAGAUAUGAUACUUGCCCCCACUUGACUACUCUGUGGGGGGGAGGGAAUGUUUGGGUGCCAUCUGAUAUGUUGCAUAUAAAGCUGCUUUCCCCCUCCCAUACUUUUUGUAUGAUAUCUUGAGCAUGGCAGCUUCUCCAGAUACUGUGAAAAUCAACAUGUCAUAAUUUGUGUCACACAGAGUAUUGUUUUGUAGGACCAGUGUGUGAAACACAGAAAACAAAAACAGUCCUGGGAGUUGAAUCUAAGUGUUAUCCUUGUUUAGAGUGGAGUUACCUGGUUCUGAAUCACAAGAACCAUCGCUUUACUCCCCAGCCACAGCUUCUGUCUUGGCUGUAAUACAUGCAAUUCCUCCUUCAGCUCUGCCCUCCCAAGUGACAUAUAGGGAAGCAAAACAGGCACAUGCUGUGGAGCAGGUUUGGAGGCCUGUGGUGCCUCACAAGAAGAAAGAAAAAUGCUUGUUAUUUUGAUUAUAGAUGUGAUUCACUUUGUUUAUAUCCAGUCAUCACUCUAGACUAUUUAUUUUUUAAUAGAAGCAUUUCUAUACUGCCAUAUCAUAAAAUAUCAGGGCGGUAUACAACAAUAAAAGAGAACACCAUUAAAAACAGAAAACAAAUAAUCAUUAAAGUGACUGGCUAAUUAAACAGCUGCAAAGGCCUAUCAGCAUAGAAAGGGCAUCAAUAGAUGUCUGAAAGUCAAAAGCAAGGACGCCUGCUGAAUCUCGACUGGAAGAUUGUUCCACUAAGUGCCCAACAGUUGGGCCUCUGCAAAACAAGGGAUAAGUGGCAGUGCUCCUCUGGAUGAUCUUAGUUUCUGAGUUGGAAUAUAAGGGCUCAAUUGGUUCUUAAGGUAUCUUGGACCCAAGUGGUACUUAAUAAAGAUGUCACUACAUGUAGCAGCAUCAGCUGCCCAAGUAUUGUUACUGAUGCUUUAAAAUGGUGGGGAGAGUGGACUCUGCUCACCUCAGGUGCUUUUGUGUAGCUGGAAUGUGUCACUGAGCUGUGAUAAUGUCACUACCAUGUCUGGAUGGAUAGGUGUGGUUUGCAGACAUCUCGUAACUUGCGUGCAACUAAAAUAUAACCUACUGAGCAAAGAUAAGAGCUAUAUCCAUUGCUCUCUCUCUCGGGUCCUGACCACCUCUGGCUUGUGAGCAUGGAAGGUUGCCCAUCAGGCAAUGUGGCUGGAAAAAAGUUUCCCCACCCCCGUUUUAAAAACAACACUUAAUGUGUGAGUAUAUGACUAGCCCAUAGGAGCUAUGCUAGCUCAGUCUCUAAGGCUAGUAUGUUGUAUGACGCUUAACACCUGACAUUAGUGACGUGGGUAAUUGUAGUGGAAGCUACAGAAAAACACAUUUCCAGAUGGAACUUUAAUAUAACUUCUGAUUGAGCUGGGUAUCUUUUAAGAGUCUCCUAGCAUCUGUUGGGGAAAUGUGUAUGGCAUUAUUCUAAAUUUUCACCAAAUUAAGCCACCCUCAGGGCAAGGUUGAAAUUCCUUUACUGAUAAACGUAUUGUCAACAGCUUCUUUACAGUACAUUAAGUAAAACCUCAGAUAAAAGUUUUAUUUAUCUGAUAUCAGUUAAAAAUACAUAAAGUACCUUACUGUUAAAGUAUUCUUUAAAUGGAGAAAAAUAGAGACAAGGCAGCAGCUGAACUGUAACUAGGGCUGCUUAUUCACAUUUGUGUCAUGUGCUUUGUUCUGCUUUUUUUUAUUUGAAUGGAAUUCAUUAAGUUGGAAGAAGUACUUUCAAAUGUUUUCUAGUGAGAGCUGGUCAAAUAGUGAGUGUUCAUCUUAACUUUGUCCUGAAAAUGGACUGAGUGGCUAGGUGAGUGUCCUGAUCUCACCUUCUCUUUGCCUCUACUUUCCAUAAUCAUCUUCUCUUAUUUCAUUUCCCUCAUUUCUCCUCCCAGUGCUGAUCAUAACCCAGGUUCCUCUGAUACCUGCAUCUUCCACAAUUUCUUUCCUAAGCGACUUUUUUCUUUAUACAUCCUUUGCUCACGACCUGUUUGCUUUCUUCUCUGUCCCAUUAUGGAGUACCUUACCUGGCUCCUCUUCUCUUCCAGAGAAGGAAACUUGUGGCACUCCAGUUGUUGUUGGGCUCCAAAUCCAGUCAGCAUUGUAGUAUUGGGUAUGAUGGAAACUGUAGUCUCACAACAUUUGGAGGCUGGACUAUAGAUUGCCUAUCCAUGUACAAUCUGUACAUUGUCUCACACAACAUGUCAUACAUAUUCAUAUGGAAGAUGUUCUGAGGAUGAGGGGCACCUGAACAGCUUUCCUCCAGAAAAAGAUUUCCCCCCCAGAUUUUCAAAACACAGCCCAUUUUUUUCCUUUCUACUCCAACUUUUAUCUUUCCUCCCUAUGCUGGGAAAGCAGUUCAGGAGGAGGAAGUUGGCAAGGUUGGCAAGUAAACUUACUCAAAGGCAUUUGGAGUACUGUGUAGUAAGGGUUCUCUAAAACACUUGUAUGAACAUUUGAUUCAUAUAAAACCAGAGUGUUUCAUAACAAAUCCAUUAGAAAUAUAGUAGUCUGUGAAAACCACCAAGCAAUUAAAUUGAUCAAAAGGUAAGCAUACAAUAUCAUAAGACAAUGGGGGCUACAAGCACUCUGACAGUAAUUUUUGAAGGAGAGCCAGUAGUGAAAAUGUACAAACUUAUGUGGGAAGAGAGUUUCGUCACAGUUCAGUUACAGAAAGAAUCCUGUUUGCUGUCACAAAUAAAUAAAAUAAUUUUAACUUUUGUAUGCUUUAAAGUGGGGUUGUAAAUUUUUCUUGAUUUUCUUGCUUCUUGAUGACCCUCCCUUUUGAAUUUGAGGUCUCAGUUAUGUUAUACAUGAAAAGUUGAGCUCCAAAGAGGCCAUAUAUACACAUUUUUGGUGGGCUGAUGCCCUUUUAACCUCUUGUAGUCUGUAGGGGUGGUUUUUACAUGUAUGAUGCUAGAAAUAUGAAGCUCAAAAAUUGUUUUGUACCUCCCAGUGAACUUCAGCGACGUGUGGGAGCUGGCACUGUAUUGCUCUGUGUGUGGUUUCUAGAUUGCAGCCGAUCUAGAAGCCGCCUGAGCCCUGUCUUGGCUGGGGAGGGCGGGGUAUAAAUAAAAAAAAAAAUUAUUAUUAUUGCUGACAUUGGUGGGCAGCAAAGGGCUGUGUGCUGACAAAGAAGCAGACAGGGGGCAGGAAGCUCAGGCACUAUGUGGGGAGCUAUGGGAUGCAGCUGGGCAGUGGGAACGUGAUUUGAAUUCAGCCUCAAAAGGAAACUGUCCAAUUUGUGUGGGAGAGGGGCAAUAUGACCAAAACUAUUGGCCAGAGCUUUGGAUGGGGGAAAAGCAAAUGAGCGGUGCUUUGGACUUGGCUCUCCCAAAAGCUUAGCAACUCUUUUCUUAGGAAAACGAGUCAGUUCAUCUAUUUGAAUGCCUUUAUGUGUUUUUUAUGGUAAAGACCUGGGUCUAUAGAAAGGGAAGGAAAGAAACAUCUUGCAUUUAUCUUAAUCUGUGUUAAUAAAAAUAGAAUAAAAACAUUACAAACAAUUUAGUUAAGAAAGAAGCUGUAAAAAGCAUCAUUAAAUAGCUGAUAGGAGCAAAAAAAUAAACUGUGCCCUGAAUGGGUCAGAAGUCGUAUGUUCUCAAUGAAAAAGAACCACACCUUUCACUUGUGGUAGCCCAAUUCCCAAGUAUGUCUUCCUGUUGGGCCCUCCUAAGCACCAAUAAUAGCUCUCUUCUCUGCCAAAUAGUUUGUAUGCUUUUAUCUUCAGUCUGUUGGUCCACUUUACAUCAGAGUAGAAGCUAACUGAUGAAUACAAAAAGCAUGAAAAAAAUGCUUUACGUUGGAAAUGUUUUAUAAAAGUUUAAACAUCCAGUCGGCAUUGUACCUUUAUGGUAUCUUUAAUAUGAUAAAAUUAAUUUGCAGUUCAUGCAUGCUACCAGAUGUAUUAUGACAUUCCCAUGAGAUUUAGUAUACAUGUCAGUUAAAGCAAUUUUAAACCGUAUGGCUGGUAUGCUAUAGGUUUCUAUAAGCAUUUAAAAUUUAUUAGUAUUUGCGUUGUAAGAAUUGUGAUAGAAUUGAAGAAAGCAAAGUUUAUUUCCACAUGGACCAUUGAAAAUUGUCAGUCUUAAAGAAUAAUCAAGGGCUAAAUUAGCAGUACAAUCUUAUGCAUGUCUGAUCAGAAAUAAGUUUCAUUAAGUUACUCUCAGGUAAGUGAGCAUUGGAGUGUAGCCUAAGAAUCUUUUUAGUUAAAAUAUAUGUGUUUAUCUUUUCUUUCAUGUUUUUUAAGGGAAAGGGACAACUAAAUGGAAGGGAAAAUGUUAACUUGUAGAUUUUGAAUGUCAGCAUGACCUGUUUUUGUUUAGGAAUGACAUAUUUGUCAUUCUGAUGAAGCUGCUUUCUUUCAUACCUUACUGUUGACAGAAUUGGACCUACUUUCCCCAUUUAUUAUGAUAAUGGCAUAGUGGAUGUCAUAUGCUAGUAGAGUUCUCUCUGUCUAUUACUACACUGCAUGCAUAGUACAUUUUGUUGCUUUCCUCUGGAAUUAACUGCUUGUUUUCAGUGUAUAUGUUGGUGGAGUGAUUUGUAGCAAAAGAAGUAACUGUCCAAAUGAACUUUUGAGAAUAAUGUUAUUUUAUCACUGUAAAUAUAUGUGCUAGGCACAGAGCACAAAAGUCCACAAGUAUCUUAUUUCAUUAAAGGAAACCUGCUCAAAUCCUGUUUUAGAGCAGGGGGAAGUAUGUUGCUGCUUCUUUUCCAUCAGCGACAGAAGACCGGUAGAAGCAGCAAUCCCAUUACAAAAGUAAAAACUGGUUUGGAUCCAAACUUAGUCAUGCUUGGAGUAUACCCAUUGAAAUCAAUGAGAAUUAAGUUUGACAUGCUUACAGUCAUUACUAAGUCCGGAUCAAACCCAACACAAGCAGCAAUAAUACACUAUAACAGAAGUAGUAAGACAUGGACAAAUAAAAUCAUUUCACUGAUACCUAUGCCUCAUAGGUUUCUAGGAGGACAUUGCAAAGCUAGGGUGUUCUUAAUAAGGAGACCUGCUCUCUGAUUACUGCUUGAGUAAUCUCUCCAGCUAGAGUAACCUAGGGAAGUUCCUCUAUAGAUUAUUUCAGAACUGAUAAGAAGGAUUGUAUGGGAGAGAUGCUGAGAAAGCCUGGAUUGAAUCCUAUGGAGGCCUUAUGUGAAUGGAAGGAGAGAGACAAGUCUCACCUAUUCCAACCCCCACCCCCCGCCUGCCUAUUUCCUCUCAUUCAAAGUCAAGUUGACUACAGGAAAGGUGUCUUGAAGUGCUAUUGUAGCUGCCUCAUAAGAAGAACAUGAGUGUUACCAGUUCCUGACAGCUGCAAGACAGCCUCAGGGCAUCUUGCUAAAAUUUCAGAUUUAAUUGUACAGUACACUUCCUUUAACAAAUUGUGUUCCCAGCUAUAAUUAUAAAAAGUUUACUCUACACGCCUCUAGCCUGUUCCUUUUAUUUGUACCCGCCUAUAUAUCUCUUGCUAUAGGAUAAAUCUAUCCAUUGGGGUUUAGUGAUCUAUGUAAAGCAGUGAAUUUUUCUUUUACUGGAAAAAAAGGUAUCUUUAGCCAUUCUUGGAUAGAUACCAGUGAUCCUUUUUCAGUCAAAUAACUAUUAACUUAUUUAUUUCUUUUAUAAAUUGCUUCCUAUGAGGCACCCUAAAGCGAUUUACAGUAUAAUAGCAUAUGUAAAAGCGAUACAUAUAUAAAGAAAUUUGAAAAACAGUUAUAAAUAUAAUAUCAGCUUAAAGCACAUACAUAAAACCAGUUCAACUCCAAAACAGUUAAGAGAAGGAUACUAGAAUGCUUGUUGAAAGAGAUAAUUUUUAACAUGCACAAAAAAGACAAUAAAAUGCCUGUCUCAUAUGCCAUAGCAGGGAGACCCAAAGGGCAGCUGCCACCACACUAAAGGCCCAAUUCUGACAUCGUGCC